rnacentral:rRNA from 1 species
GACGAACGCUGGCGGCGUGCCUAAUACAUGCAAGUAGAACGCAGUUGCGAACGGGUGAGUAACGCGUAGGUAACUGCCUAAUAGCGGGGGAUAACUAUUUGAAACGAUAGCUAAUACUGCAUACUGUGAGAUGGACCUGCGUUGUAUUGGCGAGUUGGUGAGGUAAAGGUUCACCAAGGCGACGAUACAUAGCCGACGUUAGAGGGUGUGCGGCCACACUGGGGAUGAGACACGGCGCAGAGUCCUACGGGAGGCAGCAGAAGGGAGUCUUCUGCAAUAGACGGAAGUCUGACCGAGCAACGCCGCGUGAGUGAGGAAGGUUUUCGGAUCGUAAAGCUCUGUUGUAAGAGAGGCGGUGACUAACCAGAGAGGGACGGCUAACUACGUGGCAGGAGGCGGGGUAAUAC